rfam:Kocuria polaris strain CMS 76or contig16, whole genome shotgun sequence.
GAUGACGAGUCCCAGCGUGCAGCCCUGGCUUGCUGGGCGGCAACCCUCUCCCGUAGUGGGGUGCCCCAGGUGAACCAUCCGGCACCGGCCGACGACGGCCGGCGGCAAGUACGGUCC